rnacentral:rRNA from 1 species
UACGUAGGGUCCGAGCGUUGUCCGGAGUUAUUGGGCGUAAAGCGCGCGCAGGCGGUUUCUUAAGUCUGAUGUGAAAGCCCACGGCUCAACCGUGGAAGAGCAUCCAAAACUGCUUCGCUCGAGUCUCGGAGAGGAAGGUGGAAUGCUUGGUGUAGAGGUGAAAUUCGUAGAUAUCAAGCAGAACACCUGCGGCGAAGGCGGCCUUCUGGACGAUGACUGACGCUGAGACGCGAAAGCGUGGGGAGCAAACAGG